UUUUCCGUGCAGCUCAUCACCUCCUUUUCUUCUUCUUACUUGAUGUUUCAAGAACAAAGUGUGGGUGGUUUUGAAAAAAUUACAAAUACAAACUCUCAUUUUUCUUCUAGAUCUAAGCUCCCUUCCGAGAAGUUACAGAAGGGAAAGUUGUUCAUUGCCACACUACGAUGCUAGUGAGCUAGUUUUCGAAGUGACGACGUGAGCGAAAAUUUUACCGUAGUUAAUCGCGGUGCCGUAAUCGGUUGUUAAAGCUACAACAGAGGUAAGGGCUCCUUCCAAACUUUUAGUUUGCAUUUAGGACAUUAUUUGUGAUAUUGUGGAAUAGAAAUUUGAUGUAUUUGAGGUGUAAAAUUGUGGAAAAUGAAUUUAAUUCGUUUAUGUGUGAAUUAGUUGAAUUUGAAUUUGGGUUGUUUUGAGGUGUGUUUUGUAGUGAUUAAUAUUGAAUGUGAAUUGUAUGUUCAUAAUUAUUAUUAUGAACUUUUGAGAUGUGAUUUAUUUGCGGAUUUUGUGCAAAAUGAAUUGAUGAAAUUUGGUGGUUUAUGUGUAAAAAUGUGGAGUUUUGAAAUUGGGAGAGUUAUGUUUGAAUUGUUGAAAUUUAAUUGAGGUGCUAUAUGUGUGGUGACUAAAUUUGAAGUGUUUGAGUUACUUAACGAGUUAUUUUCAAAUAAAUAAGUUUGAACUGAAGUUGAAAUUUUACAAAAAAAAUUUAGAGUUGUUAAAGUUGUGAAAAAGUUUCAAAUUUUAACUAAGUUAAAGAGUUUGAGCAAAAAGAUAAAUUGAAAUUAAAAAUAGUUAGAGUUUAAAUGUUACUCUUUUAAUUACUUCUGAACUGAGUUUUAAAAAGGAAAAAAGUUUAGAUUAUUUUAUUAACUCAAAAAUUUUGGUGCUUUAAUAGUCGAGUGUGUGUGUAUGAUAUUUGGACAAUAUUUGUUUUAUUUAGUUUUAACUAAAUAAUAUAGAUUAUUUGGUUUUAAAAGUUUGGUGUGUGAGAAAGAUUUAGUUUUGGGAAUUUUGUUGUGUUUGGAUUAGUUUUAUUGUGAACAAAUUGUUAUAAAUAUUCAUGUUUAUGUAGUUAGUUCCUCGAGUCUCGAAAAGGAAUCGAGACCGUUGGUACCAAGUUAGCGGUGAGAAGAACUCUGAUAUAUUAAUGUUGUUGUGGUGAUUUAUGGUUGAAAAUAUUGGAGAUUGAAUAUGGGUGAUUAAUAUUUGAAAAUUGUGGUGACUCACGUUGGUGAAACUGAUGUGUUCAUAAUUACUGUUAUGAAUUUUUGAGAAAAAUUUAUGUGUGGAUUAGUGGAAAGGAAUUUGAUUCAAUUUAUGUGUGGAUUGAAUUUGGAGAUGUGGUUUAUGUGUGUUUGUGAAAAUAGAAAUUGGUGUGAAUAAAUAUGUUUGAGUAUGCUAUGUGUUGUAUCUGAAAAGUCAUUAGUGUUAAAUGAGUAUUAAAAAUGAGGAAUCUUUUAAUAGCUACAUUUACUUAUUGAUUGUGGUGAAAAGAGUCAGAGUAUGCUCAUGCAUUUCAUAGUAUAUGGUGACUGCGAUGGGGCCAUGGUGAUAGUGGUGACCGUGAUGGGCCACGGGAUGAUGCAUUGUGAAUUGUUGGUUCAUCUUAUCCUUGCGAGGAUUGUCGCGUUAUGUUGAUCUGUGAGAGAUUGCACUCUAGAAUGUGUUGAUCUGUGAGCGAUUGCACUCUCGAAAAUCGUGCUGAUCUAUGAGCGAUUGCACGCUAGUAAAUCAUGCUGAUCUGUGAGAGAUUGCACAUUGGUAAUUAGUGCUGGUCUGUGAGAGGCUGCACUCUAGAAUGUGUUGAUCUGUGAGCGAUUGCACUCUAGAAAAUCGUGCUGAUCUGUGAGCGAUUGCACACUAGUAAAUCGUGCUGAUAUGUGAGAGAUUGCACCUAAGUAAUUAGUACUGGUCUGUGAGAGGAUGUACAAUUAUGAUGAGUCAUGUUUGCUAUACUAUGAUGAUUGUAUAUACAUAUUCGGUUGUUGUUGUGAUUUGCCGUAAUUGCUUUGAGGUGUGAAUUUGGGUUGAUUAAGUUUCGAUGUACUUAUGUGUUCGUAAUUUAUGUUGUGAAUAUUUGAUGUGUGAUUGAGGUGUGAAUUUGUGGAGAUUAAUUUGGUGUUAAUUAUGUGUUUAUAAUUGAUAAUAUUAAUGUUUGAAGUGUUAAUUGAUUCAAAGCCAUUUUAGAACUGAAAAUCUGCAUUUUCUCAGUUGUUUUCGGCUACGAUAGUGCAAUAUAUUUUGUUAAGUAAUUGAUAUAUUUUUUCUCUUCUCCAUCUAAAUGUCCAACAAAUGCACGUGCCUUCAAAAUAUAAGGUAGUUCAUGAUUGUGAACUCCACAAAUUAUUUUAGCAAUUCAUCAUAAACCAUAUUUUAAUGGUUUUGAUCUUAGCUUGAAAAGGAAACCACACUUUUCUUACUAAACUUCGAGCUGAAUUACCAAAACAUUUGUAUUUAUCUCCUUUAUCACAACCUAAUAUUAAUUUAUUCCUUAUUUCUCUAUCUCUGAUCUCUUUAUCUGAUCUAGCGAUGAUAAUAAUCACUUUGUUUUUAAUAUCAAUCUCGCUCGUCAAAUUCACAAUAACUUCUCGUGUGUCAAAUAUAUCUUAAACAAAAUAUAAAAUAAAUCAAAAUAAUAAAUUUUAAAAUAUUAAUUAUAAUUAUUCAUACCUGGAUAUGUGGUGAAAACAUUGAUAGUAUGUACACAUAUUUUAUUAUAUAAUAGUAACGAUUUAUCCAUAUAUGUUAAAAAUGAUAUAAAUAAUAAACAAAUUAAAUAAUUUAAACAUUAUUUUUUAAAUAAAAAAUUGGUGCGCUCAUAAGUUUUCCGAUACAGAAGAGUUUACAAAAAAAUUGUGAAAUAUAUUUCGAUACAAAGGAGUUUUUGGGAAAACUUGUAAAAUAAUUUACGUUAUGACCUAUCUACCGCAAAAUUUAUAUAAAUUUUUCAGUAAGCUUUUAUACCGAGUAACACAAAUUAAGUUUUCAAGAAACUUUGGAAAAAGCUUUGCGUAUCGAAAAACUUAGAGCAGAAAAUUUUUGAAUGGUGAAAAAGUGAAAAGUAAAUUUGAGUUUUGUAAUAUUGUAAAAGUGAAAAAUAGUAACGUCUACAUUUAAAAAAAAUAAAGAAAUAGUAGUAUAAUUGUGGAAGUAUAGACUAAAAUUUUCUUGUUACUAUUACAAAAUUUCUUUUUUAUUUUUAUUUUUUAUUUUGAAGAAAUUAUUACAAAAUUUAUACUAAAAUGUAUAAAACAUAACUCAGUUAAAUAACUAAUCCUUUUUGCUCGACAUCGUUUACCAGGUGAUAGGUCAAAUUAAACUGUAUCAUAGCUAGAGCUCUCAAUAAAGGUUAAAACUCCAAAACUUAAAAAAUUUCUUACUAAAUUUAUAAUAUUAUAUUAGGCGCUUCAUUAAAAUAUUUUUUUUUAAAUCUCGACUCAUUAUAUUAUUAUUUUUUCUGCACUUAAGAGAUGAUGCUUGUAAGUCUAAUAUUUUGUUAAUUAUGAUUUUUUUUCUUAAAAAUUUUUUUAAAUUUAUUUUUCUCAGAAAAUUAUCAAAAAAAAUUCAAAAAUAUUUUUUUUAGAAAAAUUUUAAAUCAUUUUUUUUAAUUAAAAAAUUUCAAAAAAAAAUUUAAAUUUUUUUAGCGAAAAAAGAUCUAAACUUUUUUUUCGGAAAAUUUUAAGCAAGUUAAAUGCGUGUCUGAUUCAAUUUUUAAGAAGAGAGAAUAAAAAACUAAAAUAACUUAUAAACUAUUUUAGAUAAUGGAAUGAUAAGAAGAUUAGAAGUUCGAUAUUCACCAUCAAUAAAAUACUAAUAUUAAUUAUUAGAAGCAAAAUAUAUCUUUCUUUUUCUUCCUUCCCCUUCCCUUUAUUAAAACCCUUUCUCUCUCUCAUCCGUUGAAUAAAAUAGAUAAAAAUAACACCACAACCAAUUGAACUUGGCUUUCUUGCCAUAGGUAAAUGACACAAUUACAUAUAGUAGACGAUCUCAACCAUCAUUGGUGGAGCUUGAUGAAAACCUUUUAGGGGUGCUAGAUUCUAUAAUUUUAAUUGAUAAAUUUGCAAUUUAAGCACACACAAAAUUACCAACACAAUGAUAGAGGGAGGGGAAAUCAAAUUGAAAAACUGCAAAAAUUUAAAAGUGAUAGGUACAACAUAUCAGUUUGAUUCGUAUUUUAGAAAAAUCAAGUUGAAUAAAAUCAAAAAAUUCGAACCAAAUUGAUAAAGAACGUGUCAGUUUAGUUUAGUUUAAUCGGAUUGAUAUUUUUAUAGCUCAUAUUUUUUUUAAACUAUUAAAAUAAUUAUAUACUUUUUUAUGUCACAAGUAUAUAAACUACAAAGAGAAAAUUACUGCAUUGAAAAAAAAAAACAAAGAGAAAAUUAUAAUAUAAAUAAUUAAAAAAAUACAACAUAUUUUUUGGAUAACACUUCUUAGUGUGACCUAAAAUAUAAUGGUUUCUUUUAGUUAUUGAUGAUCGAUUUUAAAUUAAGUUAAACCAUACUCAAAUUAAUAGAGAUUAAGAUUAUUUGAUUUGGAUCAAAUACAAAAAAAAAUUAAAUUAAAUUUAGUUAAUUUCAACUAAAUUUAUGUGUUUAUCGAGGCAUAGAUUUAAUUUUUAUAAGUUUAGAAGAAACUCACACAAUUUAAAUUUAGGUUAAAAAACAUAAUAUAAAGACAGAUUGACAGUAUAAACUAAUUUUAUACAGUUAAUCUGCCACAUUGUAUUAUAUAAUUUUUUAAUUAAUAUCAACUACUUAACUAUUUUAUAUCCUAAUGAGUUAUAAUUAGAUGACAUUAAUUACGAAACAACUUUACACUGUCAAUAUAUUAGAUUUUUUUUUAUCAUUUUUCUUAUAUGUUAUUUUUUAGACAAAAAAAGUUGUUAAAAGUUUGGGGUGGUCAUGAUUAUCUAUAUGUCAAUAUCAACUAUUAAUUUGAUAUCAGAAAAUAUAAAAUCACACGUAUUUAAUAUAUAUCAGUUUUAACUAACCAUUCAAAUAGUAACAUAUCAUAUUAUUAUACCUAGUGGCCACUCUUGGCCCUUCUCAAGUAUAGUUUUCACAAUCAUAUUCAUUCCUUCAAAACAUACAGUCAAUUGAAGGUUUUGUUCUUUCUUUCUGAAGGUCAAGUGAAGUUUCUAGUUCCAUAUAAUUUCUAGUUCAAUAUAACAACAUAAUUAGUUUAGAAAUUACAAGUAACAGUUAUUAUUAUAAGGAUGGGAUUGUAAAUUGAAAUUGGUAAAUUUCAUUACUAAAUUAAAUAUAAUUUAAAAAUAUUUAAAUAUUAUAAUCUUUUUGACACAAAAUAAAAUUAAUAAUAAAAAUGACAAUUUAAUAUAAGUCAUUUUUUUUAAAAAAAUGUUGGGUCUGUGAGAAAUGAAAAUAUAAAAUAUGUGGGAUCGACAAGAGCUGACUGGAACACAUUAAAAUCACAUGGGCAGGCACUAUAGGACAUUGGCAUGGCUUAAAAAUUUAUCCAUAUUUAGUACCCAAAAGAAUCCAAUGUCUUCCACACAUACCAAAUAUGAGUAUGACAUUGUCUUGGGAUACUUCCAACUGUUUUCCACUUCAAACAACAGAUUAAUUGUUAUUUCUUAUUUGUUAUCUUGCAUAAAAUAUGAGGUUUCAUUUUUUUUAAUAUUAUAUACAUAUACUACCUCUCCUCCGUCCUUUUUAUAAAUUCUUAUUACGUUUUCACUCUUAUUAAAAAAUUAGUUGUAUAGUUAAUGUAUUUAUUUUAUAUAAUAUUUUUAAAAUAAUUUUUGUAUUUGAGUAUAUUAAACUUGACUUUUUAUAUUUAAAGAUAAGUUAGAAGAAUUAAUAACAGGUAUGUUUAAAAAAAAUUAAUAAAUGUAUUUAAUAAAUUAAAAAUAAAAGUACUUAUAUGGAAAGAUAAUUCUCAAAUAGUACUUAAGUGUAAUAUAGCACUACCUUUGUCCCAAAUUAUAAUUUAGGACAAAGGUAGUGCUAUAUUACUCCCUUUAGUCUUAUAUAUAAAAAAUUGUAAUUUUUUUUCUAAAUAUAACAAAAACUUACAAAUAUCAAGAUGUAUUUAUUGCCUAAAUAUCUUUUAUACCUUUGUACUAGAUAUAUAAUUACUUUAUCAAUAGAUGUGAAGGUAUUUAAUUUUUUUAUAAACAAAUAUUUAUUAAUGUGAGAACAAAGAGUGCUCAAAGCCCAUUACAAAUCAACCAUCAUAUAGAAAUUGUUUUUCCCCUUCCUACAAAUAAAUCAUGAACUAGACAGACGGAUAAUUUUGUAAUGUCAAAGUUAUUUUUAAAGAAAAUUAAAAGCUAAUUGACUAAAUUAAUUUUCUUGAUCUUAAUAUUUUCCAUUUUUUUAGAAAAAAUAUUAAAAUGCUUUAGAGGUACAUGUUAAAAAAAUUAAAUAUAAAAUUUGUAUCUUAAAACUUGUAUAUACAAUUUUUUAAAAAUUUAAAAGUUAAUAUUUUCAACACAAAAUCUUUAUAUUUAAAUUCUUUAAUAUAUAUUCUUAAGACAUUUAUAUUUUUUUUUAAAUCAAUCAAUAUUAAUAAUUAAUUUUAUUAGAAUAAUAAAUAAAGCCAAUGACUUGUUUUUUUAUCACUUUAAUUCAUCCAAUCCACUUUAACAAAAUAUAUAUUUAUAUUUUAAAAAAAAUAAUAAAUUAUAUAAUAAUUAAUUAAUAUAAUUAUGUAAUUUUUAAUUAAAACUCAAAAUAAAACAUUUAUCCUAACAAUAUUUAUCAGUUAAUAUAGAAUUUUAAGACAAAACCAUUUGUUUUUAUAAAAAUGGGAGAGUAUGUAUUAUGCUAUAUAUGAUAUGGAUACCGUACAACUUAACUAUUACAUAGUGGCAGCACAUGUAUUAACUAACUCAUAGCAUCAACCUCGAAGUUAGAUAAAUUUAAAUUUGCAGUUAUAGAUAUGGAUAAUUUUGUCAACAUAUAUAGCCUUUCCUUCAGAACCUAGCUAUACUAUUACUAUAUUGUUGCCGUAACCAACUAAAAUGCUAGUACUUAAAAUUAUGUCUGUGUAGCAGUUGGCAGAAUCCACAUGUUAUAAUAAUAUUUUUAUAGUAAGUGACAUAGAUUAAAAUACAUAACUAUAAUAUAUAUACAUAUUUUUUAUAAACUAUAAUAAUUUAUCAGAAAAUCAAUAUUGAUUUUUUAUUUUUUAUAAUUUCAUGUAUCAAAUUCUUUUAAUAAUGUUAUGAUUUUAAUCAUUUAAAAAAAAAAGCAUAUGUCUAUAUGUUACCACAAUUUCAGCUGUUAAUCAAUAUACAUUUUAUCCUUCAGAGUACCUCCAACACUCUAAACCUAAACAUAAUCAAUGGGAUUUGGUUCUUCUAUAUUUAAUUAAAAAUUAUAAUAUUAGUUCAAAGAGUCACAUGUACUCCACACUCUUUAUGGGCAAUAUAAUCCCAAAACAUGCUAGGAAUGCAACCCUAACCACCCUAAUAUAUAUGAUACUUGUCCAACGAGUAAUCACCAAGCACGUGGCCACUAAAGGAUUCCACCAUUUUUUAUUUGUUUUAUAGACACCAUUUAAUUUGUUAAUUAUUUCUACUUGUAAAAACAUUGCUUAGUAUAUAGUUGGCUUCUGAAAUUGUCACCAAAAUGCCAAAAUUUUCCGCAAAUAACCAAUUUUUUAAAGUUAAGUUCACAUGAUCCCAUAAGUAUAACAGCACAAUAUUAAAUAUAUAAUUAGAUAUUUUGAAGGAUAUGCAGAUUGUAUCACAUGUAUUGUUUAUAUUCCACACACACAAGAAACACAUAUACAUUGUUUAACUAACAAAUUAAUGGAUUCUUUUAUGCUUAAACAUAGGGUAAUUUAUUUACAAUGAAGCAAUGAGAUUAGGGAAUCUUACACAAUACUCAGGUUUCCAUCUCCCAAAUUACAAAAGGUGCGUUGUGCCUUUCGGAAUAAAUAACUUUUAUAAUUAUACAGUUUCCUAUAAUAAUAUGUUCUGGUAAUUUAAAAUUCAAUCGAAAAUAAAUAAAGUUUGAUUAAAUAUUUUUCUUGUCAAAAAUAUAAUUUUAAAUUUUAUUAUAUAACCUUUUUUAAUUAAAAUUUAUUAACCAUUUAAAUUUAUUUACUUGAUUUCAAAUUUAAAUAUUUUCUGCAAGCAAAAGUACUAUUUUAGUUAAAAAUAAUAUUGAAAAAAUAUAAUUUCUAUUGCUAAUUUUAUUUUUAUUUUUUAAGUAGGAACUGUACCUUUAUUGUAGUCAUUAUCAUUGCAUAUUGUCAACCGAUAUUUCACAGUUAACAAGUAUUGUACUUUUUUAUUUUACUCAAAGUAUAUUGUACUUGAACCUAACAUAUUAUAGCAAGUUAAGCAAUGAUUGCUAAAACGUGUCUUUUCUACAAAAAUAAAUGAAUAGAGUAAAAAUAUAAUCAUCUCUACUUUUGUAACUAAAGUUUGAAACAAUAUAGUUAGUGAUAGAUGUUUUCCAUUUUAAAUUUGAUAAAUUAAUUAAUACUUUUUUGGGUACAAUAAUUAAUAAUACGUACAUUUUAGUAGUGGUACAUAUUUUUAUAAAAAAUAAUACAUUAUAUUGAGGCCAGUUACGAAAAGCUCUUCAAACUCACAAAUUUUCUAUGUUUUCAGUCCACUGUGCCAAAAAGACUUUUAAUUGGGUUUUUUAAGUAUUAGAUAGUACUUUUAGAGAACUUUAUAUUCUUGCACUACUAUAGACUAUGAUAGUGAUUUUAGAUGCAAAAAUGAUUUUACAAACUUAUAAAAUUGAAUUAGACUCAAUUCAAAUUGUAAAGAAUGUUGGCUCAAUAUUCCUAAGUAUAUUUGUAUGGACGAAAUCCAGCAAGUAAUGGAACACCUCAUUGGUACUAGAAAAUAAAUAAGGACUCAUAGUAGGUGGAGUAGAGCUUAUCAAUUUGACAAUGAGUGAAUAAAAAAAUGAUUCAUGAAGCGUGUUUGAAGGAGAAGAAAGUAAUAGAAGACAGUGACAUGAUUCAUUUCUUAUAGCCCUUUCUAUUUGAUGAUGUGAUUGUGCUCCAUACUAUCCAAACAUGAAACAACACUCUCAAGAUAAGAAAACAAAAUACAUGUGUAAAUAUGCUUUUAGUUUUCUAUUAAAUUUUAUUUUUAGUCUUUAUAAUUUUUUUAAUAGUUUUCUACGAAUUAAAACUGCGAUUAAAAGUUAAAAAAAUUAUAAAGAAUUAAUAAAAGUAAAAUUUUGAAUUUUUAUUAAAUACAUUCAUUUGAACUUAACUCUAUACUAUUUAUAUUAUAGAAUAUUAAUUGUCAUGCAUUCUGUUUAAAAAAUUUACACUAUCGAUUAACUACGAUCAAUUAUAUGUAUGUCUUUAGAAACAGAUAUAAUUAAACUUAAACGUUUUUAUUAAUCAAAUAAUUUUAUUAUGAUUGAUUGAAUGUGUAAAUUUUUUUUACAAAAAUUAAGUUGAUUAUAUUACUACGCAUGGCAUGAUAUAUAGGGAAAGUGAACAAUUUAAUGUUGACCAAAUAUGUCAGCAUUGCCAUAUAAUCUAUAUAAGGGAAAAGAAAAUGUACAAGGAAAUAAGUGAACAUAAGUGGAGGUGAAAAUGAACUUAGGUGAAUGCUAGAGACUAGAGAGUGGAUGACAGUGAUCUCACAUGAAGGUUUCCCUAAAAAUGGUGCAUAGUGUAAUGAGUACUCUGCUGAUCACACCAAAAAUACAGGGUACUGCAAAAUUUGGCUUCAUAUGAAAGAAAAUAUCUUUAUUUACCAUUUAGCACACUAUGUACCAUGUAAGAAUUUUGAAAUUAUAUACAUUCUUUUUUUUAAGUGAAUAUUCAAGUAAAGAGAUAUUUUAUUUCUUAAAGUAUAUACACCUGAAUUUGAAAAUAAAUUAUAACCAUAUACUUAAAGGAUUUGAUUGGAUAUCACCGAGGUUUAAUUUAAGUAAUUGGUGCACAUGUAUAUGAGUGUCGUAAAUUUCAAUUCUAAAUCAUAAAAAAUUGCUCCCACAAAAAAAUAAUAAUAAAAAUUGAUUUGAAUAAUCGUGUUUAUAGUUACAAGUGGCUUGUAAAAUUAUAUAGUACAUAUUAUUUUUAGGUACAAAUUAUAUGUAUAUAUAGUACAUAUUUACUAUGAGUCCUUUAUAAUAGUAAGUACCUGAAAAAAUAAUAAUUUCAUACGGUACACUUCUUUUCUACUUUUGUCAUGAUCAACAAAAUCGACAACGUCUCAUUCACGAGAAUGACUAUUUCCCACUUUUUUGUUUUCUUCCACUCUUCCAUAUGUUUGUCUUCUUCUUAUCUUGAAAUGUGUGUUUGAUUCUCUUUCUUUUUUUAUAUAUACUUUGUUAAGUUCCUAUGGAUUUUGUUCAUUGUUGGUACUGAUUGAUGAAAUCACCAUAAAUCAUUAGAGGGUCUUUCUUCAAAGCAUUAGCAAACAUUUUUACUCUAUAAUUUGUACAAAUGUAUCAUUCUCAAGCAACCUUAAAAUAAUUUGUUUAAGAAAUAUGUAACGAGAGAAUCUACCCUUAUUUUAAUAGAUCACAUAUAAAGAAAGUGUAGAUUUGGUUUGUGUGUUAGCUCGAAGUCGGUCACGUUUGAACCAUUUGAUCAAAAAUUAAAUAGUUUAAAUUUCAAAUUCAAUUAUUUUAGAGUAACAAAAAUUAAAAUUUACAUAAAAAUGAAUUGACUGUAUAGAGUAUAAUAGUAUUGAAUAGUCCAUGAUGAAAUUUUGUAUUCAAAAAAACAUAAUUUUUCAAUACAAAAUUUAAGUUAUAAAAUAGUUAAAUACACAAAUUCACUACACAUUAAAUAAUAAAUUUCUAUAUCUGAAUCACUAUAACUUAGGACACUUAUCAGCAUUUGUGAUUAUAUAAUUCAAAACAAGAUAACUUUACUCAAAGUUGCAUGAAAACAUUAUAUAUUAACAAACUUAGGAAAUUUAAAAAAGGAAAAAUAAAAGUGACUAGCCCUUUAUUCAUUCAUAUAAAAUUCUUCAAGCCCCACCAAAAUUUCAAGUUGAAAUAUCCUAUUUUAUACAUUAAUUAAAAGUUUUCAUAACAAGGCUUUUUAAUUUAAUAAUAACAACUCAUAAAAUAUAUGGUGACAGAUUGACACCCUUUUGAUUAAUUUCACAUAGAAAAAGAAAAAAGAAAAAAAAAACUACAUUCAAAUUUUAAAUUAAAACUCUCUCACUUUAAUUGAAUCAAUUAAUUAAAAUGUUGCUGCUCCAACCAUGGCCAAAAUCCAGUUUGAUCAUCCAUGCCACAAAACAUGUUACUUAAACUUUCUUCUUUGACAACCAUUUGAUCAAUCUUUUGGCAUUGAAUUUCUGGCCUUGAUGAAGAAGUUGUUUGAAAAAGUUGAGCAAUUCCUGCUNNNNNNNNNNNNNNNNNNNNNNNNNNNNNNNNNNNNNNNNNNNNNNNNNNNNNNNNNNNNNNNNNNNNNNNNNNNNNNNNNNNNNNNNNNNNNNNNNNNNNNNNNNNNNNNNNNNNNNNNNNNNNNNNNNNNNNNNNNNNNNNNNNNNNNNNNNNNNNNNNNNNNNNNNNNNNNNNNNNNNNNNNNNNNNNNNNNNNNNNNNNNNNNNNNNNNNNNNNNNNNNNNNNNNNNNUGCUGGCCUAGCAGAGGGUGGAAAGAAAGUAUGAUGUGUUGAUAAUGGACUAUCACUUGCUUGUGUUCUUGAGAUAUCUAAUUUGAUAUCUGAACUGUUUUCACUUCUAUUGCUGCUUGAUCCUUCUGUUUCUUUUAUAUUAAGGUUUAUUGAUUCAAUUGGUUCUCUAUUUUUCAAUGCCAAUAGCUGCAAUAAAUUCAAAUUAUAUAAGGUUACAAUUAUUAUUUAUUAUAACAAAAAAUAAAAAUUGUUAACACUAUAAUUUCAUAAAUUAAAUUUAGUAUAGAUGAAAAUUGACGAUAAAUUUGACAGAAUCACGACGAACUUGUGUUAAAUCUUUAGAAAAUAUAGAAUAUGGUAAGAUGAAACAUUUAUGUACAACAGAAGUAAACAAUUUAAGAGAAACAUGUCCUUGGAGUGAAGAAAAACAAAAUCAUUGGAUCUUGAUUAAGUCACUUUAUUUGAUAGGAAAAAGCAGCUUUUUAGAAAGUUGAUGUUUCAGAAUAGGUGAAAGGAAAGGUUCUGAAAACUAUGCAGAUAGUCAAAAAAGCAUAACAAAAAAAGAAGGAUCAUCAAUUCAUCAUUACCAUAUGUUAUUCAAAAGAAUAUAAACAAUAAACUUAAACAAGUCUUUAUAUAUAGUUCUCCAUCAUUUAUUUAAUUUUCAAUUUUGUUGAAAAAAAAAACAAAAAAUGAAUGAAAAUUGUAUUAUUAUAAGCAUGGUUUUAAAUUAAUGUCACCGAUCACAAUUGAAGUUACAAUAUAACAGUUUUACAAGUGUCUGCAACAAUAUUGCAGAUAUAAUUAUGACUUCAUAUUCAUUAUAAAUAUUUGCGACAUAAUCACAACUACAACUGCAGUUUAAAAUCAAAAUCACGAUUAUGAGAUAGAAAAAAACUAACACACCUCUGCUUGAAGUUUUUGGUUUUGAGUUUGAAGUGCAUCAUUAUCUAAUUUGACAGCAUCAUAUUGUCUUUUAAGGACAUCAUAGUCUUUUUCCA
rnacentral:lncRNA from 1 species